rnacentral:rRNA from 1 species
UACAGAGGAUGCAAGCGUUGUCCGGAAUCAUUGGGCGUAAAGCGCGUGUAGGCGGGCGAUCAAGUACCUUGUGAAAUCCCACGGCUCAACCGUGGAACUGCUGGGUAUACUGGUUGCCUUGAGCCAGCUAGGGGCGAGCGGAACAGACGGUGGAGCGGUGAAAUGCGUAGAUAUCGUCUGGAACGCCGAAGGUGAAAACAGCUCGCUGGGGCUGCGCUGACGCUGAGACACGAAAGCCAGGGGAGCGAACGGG